rnacentral:rRNA from 1 species
CAGUCGCCGCGGUAAUACAGAGGGUGCGAGCGUUAAUUGGAUUUACUGGGCGUAAAGCGUGCGUAGGCGGCUUCUUAAGUCGGAUGUGAAAUCCCUGAGCUUAACUUAGGAAUUGCAUUCGAUACUGGGAAGCUAGAGUAUGGGAGAGGAUGGUAGAAUUCCAGGUGUAGCGGUGAAAUGCGUAGAGAUCUGGAGGAAUACCGAUGGCGAAGGCAGCCAUCUGGCCUAAUACUGACGCUGAGGUACGAAAGCAUGGGGAGCAAACAGGAUUAGAUACCCCCGUAGUCCCUGUCUCUUAUAC